CUCAUUUCUUUGGAGAUCCUCAAAAGAAGAACAUGUUCACAUGUUGCAUCCCAAAGUCCGGAGGCUGCAGGCUGAGGAAAGCACACCCUGCAAACACUUCCCUUCCCUAGGGAUGUCAUAUCAGGGCUCCCCGACAUCUCUGAUCAUUUGGCUGGAAGUACAGAAAGGUGGGAAAACCCGGCCACACCCUGAAGAAUUUCUGGAAACAGUAGCCAUCUCAGGAGCAGCCAACCUGGGAGGUCAACCUUCCAGCUGUCCCAGGUGGGAUCGAGCCACAGACCAGCACCCUAGCCAGAAAAGGAAGGAGGAGAACUGCUUCUUCAUUCCAAUAGUUUCUGAGUUACCAGUUUGUUCUUACGACCCAGCCAGGGACCUUAAGAAGAGUUGAAGAAAACUUUCCUCUCUUGCAGCCCUGGACCGGAGCGGGGAGUGGGAUAUGUCAGAAAAAUCUAUCCCAUCUUCGUGACCUUGGUUAAAACUGCCCUCUGCUGGGAAGCAGCACAGGCUGUGCAGGGCUGGGGGAGCCAGGGAGAGGCAGGUGGAACAUGUAGGAAGCUACCUAACCCUCAGCCAGGGGACUUGGCCCCACUGACAGAAGGGAGGGGGGUGGGAAGAUGGGGUAGUUGGGUGGCAGGUAUUAAGGAGGGCACAUGCUGUGAUGAGCACUGGGUGUUACAGGCAACUAAUGAACCACUGAAUGCUAUAUUAAAAUCUACUAAUGUACUAUAUGUUGGCUAAUGGAUUUAAAUUUUUUUUAAGAUUAUUUAUUUAUUUAUUUAUUUGACAGAUGGAGAUCACCAGUAGGCAGAGAGGCAGACAGAGAGAGAGGAGGAAGCAGGCUCCCUGCAGAGCAGAGAGCCCAACACGGGGCUCCAUCCCAGGACCCUAGGAUCAUGCCCUGAGCAGAAAGCAGAGGCUUUAACCCACUGAGCUACCCAGGCGUCCCUAAUGGAUUUAAAUUUUAAAAAUUAAAUUCAAUUAAAAAAUAAAACCAAGGCAGAAA
rnacentral:lncRNA from 1 species